UAUUGUUAAAAGAGUAAACUCUGUCCCAGAUAAACUACACACAUAUACAAUUUACAAUUGAUAAUGAACGUAGAUACGUUUCUGGGCUUAUCAAAUAUUUCGAGUUAAAUGUAACUGCAGUGUACAAAUAUUAAAACCCAUUAUAUUACAUUAGUGUAAGUAGACGAAUAAGUAAAUAUUUGGUGAUAACAUUCAGUAUUAUCAACUGAGUAUACAUAAAUUUAAUGGGUAAUUCUGUCAGUUUCCGAUGCGCAUUAGAUGCUGAGAUAGGAGUCGCGACCGUGGAUUCGAUAUCUACCCUGCACGACGGUAACAGACUAGGCAAUGUAUGACGAAGUCUUAGUUCCCCAUACUAAGGAUACCUAUAAUAUGUCAGGCAAGAGUACACAGUGCAGACGGUUUUCUUUGAAUGCGUAAGCGCAUCGGUCUGCGGCUAUGGUCGAUGUCGGGCGUAAACGCGGAUGAAUGAAUCAACGGCGCGGAGCGGCGAGCGCGUCGCAGGCGCUGGCUAUCGCACCGUGACGUAAUCCAGAAGGCGUGUUCUUUUCAACCUUCUGUAACGUUCCAUCGAUCAUGGCUCUUCACAUAAAGAUUAUUCGACGGGAGAAAGCGGCAAAACAGUAUGUUUAACAAUAGUUAUUGUAAUGAGUAAAAAAUAUUAUUAUA